GACGAACGCUGGCGGCGUGCCUAAUACAUGCAAGUCGAGCGCAGGAAGUCGACGGUACCCUUCGGGGGGAAGUCGACGGAAUGAGCGGCGGACGGGUGAGUAACACGUAAAGAACCUGCCCUCAGGUCUGGGAUAACCACGAGAAAUCGGGGCUAAUACCGGAUGGGUCAUCGGACCGCAUGGUCCGAGGAUGAAAGGCGCUCCGGCGUCGCCUGGGGAUGGCUUUGCGGUGCAUUAGCUAGUUGGUGGGGUAAUGGCCCACCAAGGCGACGAUGCAUAGCCGACCUGAGAGGGUGGUCGGCCACACGGGGACUGAGACACGGCCCAGACUCCUACGGGAGGCAGCAGUAGGGAAUCUUCCACAAUGGACGAAAGUCUGAUGGAGCAACGCCGCGUGAACGAUGAAGGCCUUCGGGUCGUAAAGUUCUGUUGUAAGGGAAGAACAAGUGCCGCAGGCAAUGGCGGCACCUUGACGGUACCUUGCGAGAAAGCCACGGCUAACUACGUGCCAGCCGCCGCCGUAAGAC
rnacentral:rRNA from 1 species